rnacentral:miRNA from 1 species
GUGGAUUUAGUUGUCCCAUGUAUAACUCUGUGCAGAAGUUAAUUAUUUGCUAUUCUGUAAUGUGCAAUAUUACAGAAUAGCAAAUAAUUAACUUCUGCACAGAGUUAUACAUGGGACAACUAAAUCCAC